UGCAUGGCUGUCGUCAGCUCGUGCCGUAAGGUGUUGGGUUAAGUCUCGCAACGAGCGCAACCCUCGUGUUUAGUUGCCACUAUGAGUUUGGAACCCUGAACAGACCGCCGGUGUUAACCCGCGUUGCUGCGUUUAUCCGAGUGAUCCACA
rnacentral:ncRNA from 1 species